AUUGAACGCUGGCGGCAUGCCUUACACAUGCAAGUCGAACGGCAGCACGGGAGCAAUCCUGGUGGCGAGUGGCGAACGGGUGAGUAAAGUAUCGGAACGUGCCCAGUCGUGGGGGAUAACGUAGCGAAUGUUACGCUAAUACCGCAUACGAUCUAUGGAUGAAAGCGGGGGAUCGCAAGACCUUGCGCGAUUGGAGCGGCCCAUAUCAGAUUAGGUAGUUGGUGGGGUAAAGGCCAACCAAGGCGACGAACUGUAGCUGGUCUGAGAGGACGGGCCGCCACAACGGGACUGAGACACGGCCCAUACUCCUACGGGAGGCAGCAGUGGGGAAUUUUGGAAAAUGGGCGAAAGCGUGAUCCAGCCAUGCCGCGUGCAGGAUGAAGGCCUUCGGGUUGUAAGCUGCUUUUGUACGGAACGAAAAGGUUUGGGCUAAUAAGCUGAGCUCAUGACGGUACCGUAAGAAUAAGGAUCGGCUAACUCCGUGCCAGCCGCCGCAGUAA
rnacentral:rRNA from 1 species